UGAAAAAAUCUUUAAAUAUCUUGAAGGACUGCAAGCACCUAUAGAAGUCAAGGGACAAUAUUUUGAAUCCAUCAUCAAGGAAGCAGUAAGUUAUAUAAGACGAGACAUAAUUCUGCACCUUGAGAAGAAACUGAAACGUAUGAUUUGAGAGUACUUGUCCAUGGAGGACUAUCACAUUUGUCCAUGGAGGACUAUCACAUCCCAAAUGCAUAAUCUCAUUAAUGAAUGAGGAGAGAAAAGGAUCAGAUUGCUGUUUUCUACAAUGGAGCAGGAUAUUGCUGAAGUCUCCUGGCACAUGUUGCUGAAUCAAAUGGCCUUCCAGAGGCUAAGAAAUUUCUGUUAGUAAAAGUUGUUCUUUUUCCCUAAGCAUUUCAUUUGAAAGGAUAACUUGUUUUUUGGUUGUUUUGUAUUCCCACCUGUGCUGGUAGAUGUUAUUAACCCAUUAGAUAAAUAUUAUUACAGUCGUGGUUUCUGCAGCAGCUCA